CUCCCAGGGAAACCUGUGAGGCUACCCUGCAUAAACAGAUGAAGGGUGAAUUUUCUAAGUAGGGAGCUGGUGAUUUCUUGUCAGGAGGAAGAUGUGAGGGAAGAGUUUGGAAAAUGCUGGGAAAGUUGUAGGCACCCAGGAGAGGACUUGAAUCAAGGGUUAGGGUCUUGAGUUUAUGGAGUUUGGGGGAUUAUGUUUACACCACCAGGAGUCUUCUUGAACAACAAGCACCCAACCUUGAAAACCUUCACUGAUACCUGAUCCCUGAUGGACUCACAACUAAAGGAGACUGAUGAGUCCCAUGCCAGUGGAAUGGUGAUUGACUUUAACAGGACAAAGAUGGAUCCAAAGAGAGAAAAAGUCUCCAAAGCAUAACUGCAAUGCAAGUUGUUAAAACUUGAGGUGAUCUAAUGUCACAGGAAAAUCCUCAGAUGAGCAUAGUCUCAUGCGGGCUAGCUGAGGAGAAGGAAUGAAAAACACAGGAGAAAUCUGAUCCACCCAACAGCUGCCCCGGGAGCUGGAAAAGAACUGAACAGAAAGGCUUUUUCCUUACAGACAGUAGACCCACCUGCUCAGGACUUUAGAUCCCACCAAAAUGUUGACUGGGGAGGAGGACAUUGCAACUGAAAGAUCUGUUAAACAGGCUGGGACCCUCACCCUUUAUGGAGCUAGUUCAUGUGAAAUGAGGUGGCUCUUCUGCUAAGCUGAUGUGAAAUGACCUUUCAUGGACAAAUUGUUCUUCUAAAAUGUGACACGAAACAGAAGCAGUAAUUCACACAGAGAUCAUAAAAACAAAAGAGCUAUUUUCCUCAUGAGAGCAGACUGGUUCUCAAGCAUAAUUCAGACUACUUCUGGACAAGAAUCCAUCUAACAGAGGUGGUUAGCCAAGGAGCAAGACUGUAAUGAGGAAUAGAUCCAGGAAGAUAUUAAAUCAUGAUGAUAAAUAUCAUUGCCAAAUAGUUAUAUGCUUCAAAUGAUCUUUCAACUUGCCACAUAUGUAUGAAAAGAUGAAAUGUUUUUUAAUUACAUUGAAGAACUUAUGUGUCCAAAUAAAAGAUGAGGGUGUGUAAGGUAAAAUCUCUACCCUGCCAUUGCCAACUUAAUAGCUCAACUUUGUCUCAGCGUCCCCACCUGCAAGUUUGAUUUUACUCUACUUUACUCUGCUACUUAACUCAAAAUACGAAAGCUUUUUGUGAAUAACA